AUCAAUAAGCGGAGGAAAAGAAACCAACAGGGAUUGCCCUAGUAACGGCGAGUGAAGCGGCAACAGCUCAAAUUUGAAAUCUGGCUUCGGCCCGAGUUGUAAUUUGCAGAGGAAGCUUUAGGCGCGGCACCUUCUGAGUCCCCUGGAACGGGGCGCCAUAGAGGGUGAGAGCCCCGUAUAGUUGGAUGCCUAGCCUGUGUAAAGCUCCUUCGACGAGUCGAGUAGUUUGGGAAUGCUGCUCAAAAUGGGAGGUAAAUUUCUUCUAAAGCUAAAUACCGGCCAGAGACCGAUAGCGCACAAGUAGAGUGAUCGAAAGAUGAAAAGCACUUUGAAAAGAGGGUUAAAUAGCACGUGAAAUUGUUGAAAGGGAAGCGCUUGUGACCAGACUUGCGCCGGGCUGAUCAUCCGGUGUUCUCACCGGUGCACUCUGCCCGGCUCAGGCCAGCAUCGGUUCUCGCGGGGGGAUAAAGGCCCUGGGAAUGUAGCUCCUCCGGGAGUGUUAUAGCCCGGGGCGUAAUGCCCUCGCGGGGACCGAGGUUCGCGCAUCUGCAAGGAUGCUGGCGUAAUGGUCAUCAGCGACCCGUCUUGAAACACGGACCAAGGAGUCAAGGUUUUGCGCGAGUGUUUGGGUGUAAAACCCGCACGCGUAAUGAAAGUGAACGUAGGUGAGAGCUUCGGCGCAUCAUCGACCGAUCCUGAUGUAUUCGGAUGGAUUUGAGUAGGAGCGUUAAGCCUUGGACCCGAAAGAUGGUGAACUAUGCUUGGAUAGGGUGAAGCCAGAGGAAACUCUGGUGGAGGCUCGCAGCGGUUCUGACGUGCAAAUCGAUCGUCAAAUCUGAGCAUGGGGGCGAAAGACUAAUCGAACCAUCUAGUAGCUGGUUACCGC
rnacentral:sRNA from 1 species